AAUCUUCCGCAAUGGACGAAAGUCUGCCAGAGCGACGCUGCGUGAGUGACGAAGGUCCUCGGAUCGUACACCUCUGUUGUUAGGGAAGAAUAAGUAUCGACCGAAUAAGUCGUUACCUUGACUGUACUUAACCAGACAGCUCCGGCUAACUACGUCCCAGCUGCCGCGGUAAUACGUAGGGGGCAAGCGUUGGCCGGAAUUCUUGGGCGUAAAGGGAGAGCAGGCGGUCUUUUAAGUCUCAUGUGAAAUCUCGAAGCUUAAAUGCGAGCGGUCAUUGGAAACUGGAAGACUUGGGGACAGAAGAGGAGAGUGGAAUUCCACGUGUAGCGGUGAAAUGCGUAGAGAUGUGGAGGAACACCAGUGGCGAAGGCGACUCUCUGGUCUGUAACUGACGCUGAGGCGCGAAAGCGUGGGGAGCGAACA
rnacentral:rRNA from 1 species